CCACUCUGUAACAACCCAAAAAUCGGACCGCUACCGGCGCUAGGAUCCAGAUCGGCUUAAGGCCGCCGGGACCCGUAGCAAGCCUGACAUAUAACCUGUAAACCUGUAUAAUCCCAUACAUGAUCAACAACAUACAUAAAAAUCUAAAACUUUUCUUUCCAUUCAUACCUCAAACUCAACCUGUGCAUGCACUGUACAUAACAUAAAUCAUAAACAUUGAUCCCUCUGUGGGAUUCAACAG
rnacentral:lncRNA from 1 species